rnacentral:misc_RNA from 1 species
UUAUCGCAGCAGACACCUAG